ACAAUCGUUUUAUUAAAAACGACAAAACAUGCAAUAAAAAAUGGUG
rfam:Acyrthosiphon pisum strain LSR1 Contig42127, whole genome shotgun sequence.